CAGUCCGCGGCUUGUGUGCCGCGAGGAGAGGCGCAAAGGGUGACACACCAGGAAAGCAGGUAGCAGGCAAGAGUGUGGUUAUCGUUGGACCAGGAUUCAGGAUCUGACUGAGUAGCUGACUCUUAAUCCAGUUUGUGUUGAUCACCAGGAGGAUCUGGACCUCAGUAUUACCACAUCUAGAGCUAUAAUCACAUCCCUGUUAAGCCUUCCUGAGAUCACACCAAAUGUCCUUGAUGGGAAUUGUAAACAACCCUUACUUCUGGUUUCUAAUGAUAUUCCAGGAAAGGAGCCUAACUAGAGUCAGUGAUAUGCCAACUCCACCUUUGCCUUCCACCAUGUUUGGAAGCUCCCUGAGGCCUCACCAGGAGCAGAUGCUCGUCCCAUGCUUCCUAUAAGCCUGCAGAACUGGAAAAGAAAGCUGGAUAAAGUAUUUAUAGAAGAUAGAGGACCUGUGGUGGCUCAUGCCUGUAAUCCAAGGUGGAAGGAUUGCUUGAGGCCAGAAGUUCAAGACCAGUCCAAGCAACAUAGCAAGGCCCCAUCUCUACAAAAAAUGAAAAUAAAAUUAGCCGAGCGUGAUGGCUCAUGCCUGUAGUUCUAGCUUCUAGAGAGGCUGAGGCAGGA
rnacentral:lncRNA from 10 species